GGCAGGAAGAGGCAGCAGGCUGUUCAGAAAACCAGCCUUCAGGCUAUCCAGAAAACCAGCCUUCCAACAAAAGGGCCCAAUUUCUCCCCCCAGGUAAAAUGGCGCAAGGCCAGGAGCCUACACUAGGUAAAAGCACUCAGGACUUUUGCCUCUUAGAAAUGGCAGCACUUCCUCCUUGCUAGGGGCACUGAUGUGAUUGCUAAAUGCCACGUUCCUCCUGGACCAAGCAGGCACAAAAGGCUGAUGUCUGAAGAAGAGGGGAAUUUUUUCUUGGCUGAGCAGAAUGACUGGUCACUGUGUCUUCUCCUCGGCCCUCCCUGGAGAGAGAAAAUCUAUGGUGCCAUAAAGAAUGAGGUAUUCUGGCACCCAACACAAAGAGA